rnacentral:rRNA from 1 species
UAGGGAAUCUUCGGCAAUGGGGGGAACCCUGACCGAGCAACGCCGCGUGAGUGAAGAAGGUUUUCGGAUCGUAAAGCUCUGUUGUUAAGGAAGAACGAGUGUGAGAAUGGAAAGUUCAUGCUGUGACGGUACUUAACCAGAAAGGGACGGCUAACUACGUGCCAGCAGCCGCGGUAAUACGUAGGUCCCGAGCGUUGUCCGGAUUUAUUGGGCGUAAAGCGAGCGCAGGCGGUUAGAAAAGUCUGAAGUGAAAGGCAGUGGCUCAACCAUUGUAGUCUUUGGAAACUGUUUAACUUGGGUGCAGAAGGGUAGAGUAGAAUUCCAUGUGUAGCGGUGAAAUGCGUAGAUAUAUGGAGGAACACCGGUGGCGAAAGCGGCUCUCUGGUCUGUAACUGACGCUGAGGCUCGAAAGCGUGGGGAGCGAACAGG